rnacentral:rRNA from 1 species
GUAGGUGGCAAGCGUUGUCCGGAAUUAUUGGGGCGUAAAGCGCGCGCAGGCGGUUCUUUAAGUCUGAUGUGAAAGCCCACGGGCUCAACCGUGGAGGGUCAUUGGAAACUGGAGAACUUGAGUACAGAAGAGGAAAGCGGAAUUCCACGUGUAGCGGUGAAAUGCGUAGAGAUGUGGAGGAACACCAGUGGCGAAGGCGGCUUUCUGGUCUGUAACUGACGCUGAGGCGCGAAAGCGUGGGGAGCAAACAGGAUUAGAUACCCUGGUAGUCCACGCCGUAAACGAUGAGUGCUAAGUGUUAGGGGGUUUCCGCCCCUUAGUGCUGCAGCUAACGCAUUAAGCACUCCGCCUGGGGAGUACGGCCGCAAAGGCCGA